UGUAAGCGUAUACCAAAGUUGUUGCAGUUAAAACGCUCGUAGUCGGAAUUUGGCAGUUCCGGAAGUGUGCACGUCGUGUGCGCACUUUGCGGGGACUGCUUUUGUGGUCUUGCGUAGGAUGAGGCACUUUCAUUAGUGAACGUCCUCACGCAACCACUCUUUACUGUGAGAAAAUCAGAGUGCUCAAAGCAGGUAUUUGCCGUGAAUGUAUUAGCAUGGAAUAAUAGAAUAGGACUCGGUUCUAUUUUGUUGGUUUGUUGGGACUGAGUAAUGAUUAAGAGGGACAGUUGGGGGCAUUUGUAUUCCGGCGCUAGAGGUGAAAUUCUUAGAUUGCCGGAAGACAAACUGCUGCGAAAGCGUCUGCCAAGGAUGUUUUCAUUGA
rnacentral:rRNA from 1 species